GAGCUUGCUUAAUGUUCUUAGUGGUGGACGGGUGAGUAACACGUGAGUAACCUGCCUCUGAGAGUGGGAUAGCUUCUGGAAACGGAUGGUAAUACCGCAUAACAUCAUGGAUUCGCAUGUUUCUAUGAUCAAAGAUUUAUCGCUCAGAGAUGGACUCGCGUCUGAUUAGAUAGUUGGUGAGGUAACGGCCCACCAAGUCGACGAUCAGUAGCCGGACUGAGAGGUUGACCGGCCACAUUGGGACUGAGACACGGCCCAGACUCCUACGGGAGGCAGCAGUGGGGAAUAUUGCACAAUGGGGGAAACCCAGAUGCAGCGAUGCCGCGUGGAGGAAGAAGGUUUUCGGAUUGUAAACUCCUGUCGAAGAGGACGAUAAUGACGGUACUCUUCAAGAAAGCUCCGGCUAACUACGUGCCAGCAGCCGCGGUAAUACGUAGGGAGCGAGCGUUGUCCGGAAUUACUGGGUGUAAAGGGAGCGUACGCGGGAUGGCAAGUCAGAUGUGAAAACUAUGGGCUCAACCCAUAGACUGCAUUUGAAACUGUUGUUCUUGAGUGAGGUAGAGGUAAGCGGAAUUCCUGGUGUAGCGGUGCAAUGCGUAGAGAUCAAGAGGAACAUCGGUGGCGAAGGCGGCUUACUGGGCCUUUACUGACGCUGAGGCUCGAAAGCGUGAGGAGCAAACAGGAUUAGAUACCCUGGCAGUCCACGCCGUAGACGAUGAUUACUAGGUGUGGGGGGACUGACCCCUUCCGUGCCGCAGUUAACACAAUAAGUAAUC
rnacentral:rRNA from 1 species